CCUACGGGAGGCAGCAGUGGGGAAUCUUGCGCAAUGGGCGAAAGCCUGACGCAGCAACGCCGCGUGCGGGAAGAAGGCCUUCGGGUUGUAAACCGCUUUCAGAAGGAACGAAAAUGACGGUACUUUCAGAAGAAGGUGCGGCCAACUACGUGCCAGCAGCCGCGGUGACACGUAGGCACCAAGCGUUGUCCGGAUUUAUUGGGCGUAAAGAGCUCGUAGGCGGUUCGGUAAGUCAGAUGUGAAAACUUUGGGCUCAACCCAAGGCCUGCAUCUGAUACUGCUGUGACUUGAGUUCGGUAGGGGAGUGGGGAAUUCCUAGUGUAGCGGUGAAAUGCGCAGAUAUUAGGAGGAACACCGGUGGCGAAGGCGCCACUCUGGGCCGAAACUGACGCUGAGGAGCGAAAGCGUGGGUAGCAAACAGGAUUAGAUACCCUGGUAGUCCACGCCGUAAACGUUGGGCACUAGGUGUGGGUUCCAACCAACGGAAUCCGCGCCGUCGCUAACGCAUUAAGUGCCCCGCCUGGGGAGUACGGUCGCAAGCUAAAACUCAAAGGAAUUGACGG
rnacentral:rRNA from 1 species